rnacentral:misc_RNA from 1 species
UCCUCAAAGAUAAAGCAUUGUAAAUCAGUAAAAUCUAUAAGAAAUCACAAAUUGAUCACUAUGUCCACUCUGUCAAAUAUUCUGUUAAUGAAAAGAUACACGGCGUACGAGAUAGUCCAUAAAUAUGAAAGAAUCACGAUCGUGUUACUUUUCUGUGAUUAUUAUACCAUCUUACGUUGAAUAAGAACUGACAUAUGUUUAAAAAGAACAUUACUUUAAUAAGUUAUUUAUUGUACGAAGGAACAAUUACCGGCACGCGAUCGUGACUAUUGAGUCAGAUACCCGGCAGCAAAUAGUCAACCGAACGACAUCCGAUCGGCGCAAUAAGACGGGCAGCCGCGUCGCUAUUUACGAGCACACGGGGUCGCAUAAAUUCAUUUAUCCAGAAGUUAUCGAUAACGUUCAAUAGCAAUCGGAAGAUUUACG